GAUGAACGCUGGCGGCGUGCCUAAUACAUGCAAGUCGAGCGAACAGACGAGGCGCUUGCUCCUCUGACGUUAGCGGCGGACGGGAGAGUAACACGUGGAUAACCUACCUAUAAGACUGGGAUAACUUUGGGAAACCGGAGCUAAUACCGGAUAAUAUAUUGAACCGCAUGGUUCACUAGUGAAAGACGGUUUUGCUGUCACUUAUAGAUGGAUCCGCGCCGCAUUCUCUAGUUGGUAAGGUAACGGCUUACCAAGGCAACGAUGCGUAGCCGACCUGAAAGGGUGAUCGGCCACACGGGAACGGAGGCACGGUCCAGACUCCUACGGGAGGCAGCAGUAGGGAAUCUUCCGCAAUGGGCGAAAGCGGGACGGUGCAACGCCGCGUGAGUGAUGAAGGUCUUAGGAUCGGAAAACUCUGUUAUUAGGGAAGAACAAAUGUGUAAGUAACUAUGCACGUCUUGACGGUACCUAAUGAGAAAGCCACGGCUAACUACGUG
rnacentral:rRNA from 1 species